CACAAUAUAAGUAGAUAACUCAUAAUGACAUGCAUAACUAGAUUAGGACUUUUGUCUAAUUGUGUCUUCCACUAUUUUAACAAAUUUCAUAGCUCCCAAGUACGAAAAUCGAGAAACAUAAUAAUAUUUUUUAGUGGGGUUGAGAUCUCUAUUUCUCACAAAUACCUUGUGGAUUGCACAACAAGUAGUCAUGAGUUCAAGAGUAGGUAACUCUUUACCAAUUGUACUGAUAUAAUUCUCAAUAUUUUUUUCUCUUGCCACU
rnacentral:lncRNA from 1 species